rnacentral:rRNA from 2 species
CAGGAUGAACGCGGGCGGCGUGCCUAAUACAUGCAAGUCGAGCGAACAGACGAGGAGCUUGCUCCUCUGACGUAGCGGCGGACGGGUGAGUAACACGUGGAUAACCUACCUAUAAGACUGGGAUAACUUCGGGAAACCGGAGCUAAUACCGGAUAACAUGUUGAACCGCAUGGUUCAACAGUGAAAGACGGUCUUGCUGUCACUUAUAGAUGGAUCCGCGCCGCAUUAGCUAGUUGGUAAGGUAACGGCUUACCAAGGCAACGAUGCGUAGCCGACCUGAGAGGGUGAUCGGCCACACUGGAACUGAGACACGGUCCAGACUCCUACGGGAGGCAGCAGUAGGGAAUCUUCCGCAAUGGGCGAAAGCCUGACGGAGCAACGCCGCGUGAGUGAAGAAGGUCUUCGGAUCGUAAAACUCUGUUAUUAGGGAAGAACAAAUGUGUAAGUAACUAUGCACGUCUUGACGGUACCUAAUCAGAAAGCCACGGCUAACUACGUGCCAGCAGCCGCGGUAAUACGUAGGUGGCAAGCGUUAUCCGGAAUUAUUGGGCGUAAAGCGCGCGUAGGCGGUUUUUUAAGUCUGAUGUGAAAGCCCACGGCUCAACCGUGGAGGGUCAUUGGAAACUGGAAAACUUGAGUGCAGAAGAGGAAAGUGGAAUUCCAUGUGUAGCGGUGAAAUGCGCAGAGAUAUGGAGGAACACCAGUGGCGAAGGCGACUUUCUGGUCUGUAACUGACGCUGAUGUGCGAAAGCGUGGGGAUCAAACAGGAUUAGAUACCCUGGUAGUCCACGCCGUAAACGAUGAGUGCUAAGUGUUAGGGGGUUUCCGCCCCUUAGUGCUGCAGCUAACGCAUUAAGCACUCCGCCUGAGACUCACUUGU